GCUAUGAAAUUGGUGUGUUCUGGUUAUUGAAUCCGUGAUUACAUGACACCUGGGGAUUUUUUGAAGUAAAAGAGAAUAAAAUGCUUAAGAAAAUGGACCAUUCUGGAGCAUUUUCUUUUUCUUUCAUCCGAAUGGUCCUUAGUUUGUGGAGAAUAUUCUCGAUAGGGAUGAACUAGUUUUUCUUUAGAAGAUUGAAUCGAGAUUUAUUACGUUUUUGUGGUUUGGAAAAUCCUUAUUAAUUGGUUGAUAGAGUAAUUUUGGGGAUCCAUCAUCGAUGUCAGACAUUUUUUGAAUUGGGAACUAUUCCGAUUCUUACACGUCUACAAAGUAACCCUAACCUGAAAUCGUGUUUAGAUUUAACAUGUUCAGACUAUACAUUUCUUGGAUACGUGUCCAAUGUUCCUCAGGAGUCUCCUUACUUAUACAGGGAUCGGAUAUCUUUUAUUUACUAGCUUAUACGAAUUUAUGAAGGAAACAAUGGUAAGUUAGUAUAAUUUCUUAGGAAUCUGAUCAAAUAGAAUCUGCCUAUCCACCUUUGCUAAAAGGAUUCUCGAGGCUCUCAGAGAAUUAACGGUAAACAGUAAGGAUAGGGAGAAUAAGGAGAUAAAGAGCAGAAGUAAGACAGGGUAGCUCCAAAAUAUUGGGGUUGUGACAAUGUUGCUCUAGGCAAAGCAUGACUAUGAAAGCAGGCUCGGCAUGGGUUUCCCCCAAGCACUUGGAUUUUGCCUCUGGUUUCACAGGCUUUUGAAGUAUGGCUAGAUAUUAGACCAGUGAUAGCCCCAAACACUAGGAUUUUGCCUUGGUUUCACGGGCUUUUAAGAUACAAGAAGGGACUAGGCUUGUAUAUUAUAUUUUGAGCUGCUUUUAAGGUUUAUGACACAUUUUACAUUCUAUUUUUCAUCUAGAUUAACUUUCUUAAAAAAAAAAAAAUUAAAAAUAAGAUUUGGUUGAAUAUGGUCACCAAGUCCAAAGCCUAAGUUUUUCAUAGGUCAAGUGCAUGUAAGUUUCCUCAUCUAAAAUGCACAUGGAACUGUUACAAAGUUUAGUAUCUUACAAAAAAGGUCUUCAACUUUUGGUCUUCUAUGAUCGCCCAAAUUCUUGACUUAUUUUUCCUUUAAGUUUCACCUAAUGAUUUUGCAAUCUGCCACACUUAGGAAAUUUAAUCAAGUACUCAACAUUUGUUUUGUUAUCAUCAAAAUGUAGUUUUAGGAAAUCUGUAACUAAUGCAAAAGGGAUGAAGAUAUCUGACCAUAUUAUAAUUUUUUUUUUAAUUUUCAUUCGUGUUUCUCUUUUUUGUCAAGUCACUUACCCACACAAUAAGGGGGCUUUGAAAUCUAAAUUUUCUGCUUGUAACAUGUGUCUCCCUUUAGUAUUCCAAAUUAUUGACCCUGUAUAUGUGAAUCCUUCUUAGAAGUUUUAAAUAUAUUUUAAGAAACUCAUUCAUGCAUUGUCCUUAUUAGUUAUUGUUCUAUUUUCUUAGGGUCUUUCUUCUGGUUAAGAAUUAGAACCAUGUUGUGUAUACUCCUAUUUUCAAGGUAGAGUCUCCAAUUGAGUCGAUUGUUCUGCAUGUGGCAAUACAAAAUAUGGAUGAACACGGAUCUUAAGAAAUUGUUAGUAAUACAGUUGGAGGAUUUAUGACGCAUUUUUUUAUCUCUUGAUUGGAUUUGAAAUUCAAUACAACACCCUAAAUGGUUGUUUACUAGUGAUCUUAUGUUUCUCUUUUGUACUUUCCCAAUGAGAUGUUUUGCAACAAUAAAUGGCUGCUUAGGUGUUAAGGAAUGUUUUAAGGUAGUACCUAGGGUGCCUUAAGGUAGUACCUAAGGGCCAUUAAGGCAGUACCUAAGGGCUCUCAAGGUAGUACCUAAAGUACAGUCACAAAAAAACCAUUGGUGGACCACUUGUUCACACAUGAGAACCACAUAAUGGCAUGGUAUGAGGGUCACUAAGCAAGGCCCGAGGCUUGGGAGAGGUUGAGUUAAGGUUUAGCUAAGGUAGUACCUAGGGUCCCUUAAGGUAGUACCUAAAGACCAUUAAAGUAGUACCUAAGGGCUCUUAAGGUAGUACCUAAGGUACAGUCCCAAAAAACCAUUGGUGGACUACUUGUUCACACAUGAGAACCACAUAAUGGCAUGGUAUGAGGGUCACUAAGCAAGGCCCGAGGCUUGGGAGAGGUUGAGUGAAGGUUUAGCUAAGGUAGUACCUAGGGUCCCUUAAGGUAGUACCUAAAGACCAUUAAAGUAGUACCUAAGGGCUCUUAAGGUAGGACUUAAGGUACAGUCCCAAAAAACCAUAGGUGGACCACUUGUUCACACAUGAGAACCACAUAAUGGCAUGGUAUGAAGGUCACUAAGCAAGGCCCGAGGCUUGGGAGUGGUUGAAUUAAGGUUUAGCUAAGGUAGUACCUAGGGUCCCUUAAGGUAGUACCUAAAGGCCAUUAAGGUAGUACUUAAGGGCUCUUAAGGUAGUACCUAAGGUACAGUCCCAGAAAACCAUUGGUGGACCACUUGUUCACACAUGAGAACCACAUAAUGACGUGGUAUGAGGGUCACUAAGCAAGGCCCGAGGCUUGGGAGAGGUUGAGUUAAGGUUUAGUUAAGGUAGUACCUAGGGUCCCUUAAGGUAGUACCUAAAGACCAUUAAAGUAGUACUUAAGGGCUCUUAAGGUAGUACCUAAGGUACAGUCCCAAAAAACCAUUGGUGGACCACUUGUUCACACAUGAGAACCACAUAAUGGCAUGGUAUGAGGGUCACUAAGCAAGGCCCGAGGCUUGGGAGAGGUUGAGUGAAGGUUUAGCUAAGGUAGUACUUAGGGUCCCUUAAGGUAGUACCUAAAGGCCAUUAAGGUAGUACCUAAGGUAUAGUCCCAAAAAAUCAUUGGUGGACCACUUGUUCACACAUGAGAACCACAUAAUGGCAUGGUAUGAGGGUUACUAAGCAAGGCUUGAGGCUUGGGAGAGGUUGAGUGAAGAUUUAGCUAAGGUAGUACCUAGGGUCCCUUAAGGUAGUACCUAAGGUAUAGUCCCAAAAAACCAUUGGUGGACCACUUGUUCACCCAUGAGAACCACAUAAUGGUAUGGUAUGAGGGUUACUAAGCAAGGCUCGAGGUUUGGGAGAGGUUGAGUUAAGGUUUAGCUAAGGUAGUACCUAGGGUCCCUUAAGGUAGUACCUAAGGUACAGUCCCAAAAAACCAUAGGUGGACCACUUGUUCACACAUGAGAACCACAUAAUGGCAUGGUAUGAGGGUCACUAAGCAAGACUCGAGGCUUGGGAGAGGUUGAGUGAAGGUUUAGCUAAGGUAGUACCUAGGGUCCCUUAAGGUAGUACCUAAAGGCCAUUAAGGUAGUACCUAAAGGCCAUUAAGGUAGUACUUAAGGGCUCUUAAGGUAGUACCUAAGGUAUAGUCCCAAAAAACCAUAGGUGGACCACUUGUUCACACAUGAGAACCACAUAAUGGCAUGAUAUGAGGGUCACUAAGCAAGACCCGAGGCUUGGGAGAGGUUGAAUUAAGGUUUAGCUAAGGUAGUACCUAGGGUCCCUUAAGAUAGUACCUAAAGGCCAUUAAGGUAGUACCUAAGGGCUCUUAAGGUAGUACCUAAGGUACAGUCCCAAAAAACCAUUGGUGGACCACUUGUUCACACAUGAGAACCACAUAAUGACAUGGUAUGAGGGUCACUAAGCAAGGCCCGAGGCUUGGGAGAGGUUGAGUUAAGGUUUAGCUAAGGUAGUACUCAGAUUGCUUUCCUACGUAGUCUUGGCAGCUAUGUUUUGUGGAGAAUUUUGUUUUUGAAUGAUACCCAGAUUGAGUUCUCUUCAGGUUUGAUUGUGGGUUGAGUGUUUUAGUGUUUGUUAUAGGAAUUGGACGUGGGUUUCAAUUUGUUUUUUGGUUGUAAUCCGCAUAUUGAAUAGUGCCUUUGUACAGAAACUUGUGUUUGACUGACACCCAGAAUGUUUUUUUCUAACCUACUUUUGGGAAUUCAAAGUAUGUCUUCUAAGAGCUCAAUUCCGGGAAUUAGGUAAGGGUUUCUAUUAAAUUCAGCUUUAGAUCUCUCUCUGAUGUACAAGUACUGUUCUUCUGGUGAAGUGCAUUUUUGAAAACUUCAUUGAAUUAAAAAAUAAAAAUGAAAAUUUGAGAUUUGGAUGUGAAAAUAUCUCUUCUUGUAAGGGCUUUGAAAAGGGUUCUAUAAGAUUUCAUACUUCUUCUACUUGAAAAUGCUUUAACACAAAACCAACUACAUUAUAGAGCUCUUUACAGUAGCUUUUGAGCAGUUGAAAAAACCUGCACCAAACAGAGCCUGGCUUUGCAAGUCUCUAUUUUUAUUUGGAUGUAGAUUUUUAACCCACUACUAAUUCUUUCACCCUAUGGAGUCCUCAGAGUAAUUAAUGGUUUCUUGAAAGAAAUAUUGAGCCAAAGGUUUACCUUUGGUGAAUUCUGAAAUGGGGUUGUGCAAAUGUAUUAAUUAAUAUCUUUCCUGAUCUCACAUGGUGAAUUUAAGGCCAUCUCGAGAGAAGAUCACUGCUGCUGGGAGUUGGACUGCUAGCUGCAAAUUUAUUCCCUGCAAGUUCCCUUCAUGCUGAAGGGUUCACAUUCAACUGGCCCAAAUUGCAUCAGAGCAGAAACAUAUAACUUACUCAGGCUUGCCCCUGAAUCACUUCAGGGCCUUGAGGAGUUUGUUAUGAAAUUUUUUGAGGACCUUCCUUGCACUACAGUGAUCUGUAUUAGUUUGCUUGGAGGUGCUUUGGCUAGUCUAUUAAGAGAAUUGCUGAAUUAUCCUUCCUCUGUCAAUGCAUGGGUACUAUUGUCACACUUGAAUAUGAAGAGUCAACCUGUUGUUAUACUUCUGCCUGUGGAUUCAGUUUUAGAAGAAGUUUCAGAUGAUGAUGCAAGCUCCGAGUCUGGAAUACACUAUGAGCACAAAGAUUUGGACAAACAAUGGCACUGUCCUUGGGGCUCCACUGUGGUUGAUGAUGUAGCUCCUGCAUUUAAAAUGAUACUGGAGGAGAAUUAUUUAUCAUCUUCAACAUUUCCUCUAGACGAUACAAAGGAGAACAGAUUGCAAUGGUGCUGAGGGACUUGGAAGAUUUAUGGUUGGGUCCCUGGAGAUCCUUGCUUUUGGGGGCAUGUUUGGACUGUGAACGCCUGGAUUUGAUACAUAAGAAGCUGGUGCAUGAUCUGAAAUCUAAAAGUAAAAUGGAUGUAAAUGAGAGCCUUCUUAAAAUUAUUCUUGGGAGUGCCAGAUAUUCCCAUGGAAGAGAACAAUGUUUUUUGCAGCUAUAUUUAAACAAAGGCUGCUAUAUUGGUAAAGUGGGAUUUUAUGAUGAAAAAACAAGGUGUAAGGUAUUCUCUAACCCUUGUGAUAGAGUUGAAAAGAAAUCUGCAUUGGCCAACCAGCUCAUAUCUGGAGCAGCAGAAGAGCUUGAAGAGGAAGAAAGUGUAAAUAGGUAACCUAUAAUUCUGGUGCUAGAUUGUGAGGUGCAGGUGUGUCUUUUUCUUUCCAUCCCUCAUUGUACUUUUCAAGAUUGUCAACUUAUGAGUUCAAUGUUUCUUCUAUAACUAAUAGAUUGAAUUUAAUUUAGUGAUAUCAAGGUGUAGUGGAAUGUGAAUUAUGAGGUAUUAUCUUAAAAGAAUAUCAGUGCUUUUGAAAUUUUGCUAUUGCAAAUAUAAGAACUGAUAGUCACCUAUGGGCUUUAGUCAUAACCUUUCUUUGAUGUGGAUGAAACCAGUUAAUGUUUCAUCACUAGAACAAUCUCCAGAGACCUCCCUAAACUUGUUAAGAUCCAUUCCUAAUAAGAAUUUGAUUCUGAAAAAAAAAAAAGUUCCAAUGAAAUGAUAAAUAUACCAUCCAAGGUACUUGAAACUUAAUGAUCUAUUUGCUACAUGAAAAGGUUUUUACCACCCUAAUGGGGGGUUCUUCUCCAGGCAUCCUUAGGAAGGAGAUGAUUGGGUCAUUUUAAUUUUUUCAUUCACACAAGCUAAUUGAUUGUGUAGAUGCUUCCAUGGGAGAACAUACCAGUGCUAUGAACACAGGAGGUUUAUCGUAUGCCUUCAAUUGGCAGCAUCUCUGCCAUACUUGACAGAAGCCACCACCAUCAAGAGCAGGCUGGAAUGAAUGCUGCCGCCUUUCCGCUGAUUGAUCCCUUGGAUGCAUUUUAUUUGUUGAAUCCUAGUGGUGAUCUCAGCAGCUCACAAACUGCAUUUGAAAAAUGGUUUAGAGAUCAAAACAUAGAGGGGCACAGUACACUCCACAAGGUACUCAUCUUUCCUAUCUAUCAACUGGUUCCCCUGUUAUAGUUGCCAAUCUAUGGGAAGUGACAGACAAGGAUAUUGACCGAUUUGGUAAGGCCAUGCUUGAUGCUUGGUUGAGAGAAAGAUCAUCUCCUUAGGUGGCUUGUGCCCAGUGCCGUUUGGUUGCUGAAUUGAAGUCCAUGAGCAUAACUGGUGGUAAAGGAAAUGCUAAGAAGAAAAUCCCAAGGAAGAAAUUAUCUAAAGCUUGUAGUAGUGUUGUAUGUGAAGAUUACUAUAACCAUAGAAUGGAUCAUUUAUGAGUCAAGCUCGAGAAGCCUGUACACUCUCUUUUUUUAUUGGGGCAUCACUGGUAUGUUAUGGUGUCCCAACUGGUAUACGGAAAAGGAAAGACUCAUAGCAUAAUUUGUUUAAAAAUUCUUUGCAUCUUGGGGCCUCCCAUUAUAAUAAAUCAAGCAAAAAAGUACAUAGCAGAACUGUAGUCACUGUAAAA